GAAGAAAGACGCGGUAUGUCUGUUGUCCUGCGAUCUUCUAGAAUGGACAGUUCUUCCAAAUUUGUACAAGCACAAAUACUCAGUUUCUGCAGUGCCGUCGUUUGAAGAAGGUAAUCCGGCAGCGCCUUCAAUUUGUUGCAAGAACGAACUUCCAAGGAAGAAAGACGGGGCAUGAUAGAGAUGUUUUCCUUCCUCGUAAUCCUGUAAUUCCACUCUUCCAAUUCAUUCAUGUCCCAAAUUUCGAGAGAUUUCAAUUUGGUGAAGGCAGUAACUGAUGAUGAUGAUGAAGAUGAAGACGGGUCAUCCUCACUGCUUUCUUCUAUUCCCAAAAACUCAUUACCCACUCUUUUUACACUUCUGAAGCUCCAUAGGGUGAGUUUUUCCAGAGGAAAUUUUCCCAAAGGAGGCAAAUGCUCACAGUUAAAACACGAGGAAAGAUAUAAAUUCCUUAGAUUGGUUAGUGAAGUCAACCAUUUGGGAAAAAUGUCGCCUCCAUAGUGUUCAAUCCCUAAUUUCUCUACAUUCAAAGGCGGUUGUAAGGCUUCAAGAAGUUGUUUAUCUUUCUCGUUCUUCCUCCUCCCUUCUUCGCCUUCCCCACUACGACUCCACCAAACUUAAGACGCAAACGAAGGAGGUUUUUCUUAUUGUAAAGUUGUAACCUCUCAGUCCCAUCUACAUGCGAUACAUUACUCAGCCCUUCUACUCUACAUUCACGAAGGAGUUGAAGAUUUUUCAGAGAUUCAAGCCUACACGUAUUGCUACCAUCAACACCUCCACCCACAACAAACUUUUGUAAUGUUCGAAGGCUAGUUAAUUUGGAAAUCCCUACUGGCAUGUAUUUCAACGAAUCAGUGCCCGCAUUCAGUAAACUCCUCAUGUUCUUUAACUUCCCAAUCCCCGCAGGCAAUUCUCUAAGAUAUUCGCACCCCCUAAUAUCUAGCUUUUGUAAAUUAUAUAAUUCACACAAAGUCUCAGGUAGUCUCUCUAUACACUGUCCAGACAAAUUAAGAUAUUUUAAAUGUAUCAAUUUUCCAACAUUUUCUGGAAUUUCUCUAAUCCUUUCUGUCUCAGGAUGCAAACCUAAAGUGUUAUAUUGCCUUAUAACUAAUGCCCUUAAACACGCCAAUUUAUUAAAUAACUCCGAAAGGAUGCUACUACUAAGAGGCCGAUUGUGAGGACUUUCAUCAUAAAUUAAUAGGGUACGCAAUCUAUUAAGUCCAUGAAUGGACAUAGGAAAUGAAGCGUCUUCUUCAAAAUUUAACCCUAAGUGACGGACUUUCUCACCAAAAGAGUUUAUGAUUGAUUCCUUGGUACCAUUAAUUUCUAGCCACAAACAUUCUUUCCUACCUACAAAUUGGGCAAAAUCAUGUACUAUGUCAUGCAUCUUGCAACUCAUAAUAUCAUCAUCGUCAUCAUCUUUUUCAAACUCUUGAAAGAAAGAGCGUGUUGCUAAGAUGUUGAAAUACUCUUCUCCAAUCAUCUCCAUUUCUUCGUCUUCAUCUGCAUUAAGGUAACCUUGAGCCAUCCAUAGAUUAAUCAAUCUGCAUUAAGGUAACCUUGAUAGAUUAAUCAAUUCCCUUUUAUUCAUAUUGUAGUCUUUUGGAAAGACAGCACAAUAUGAGAAACACCGUUUUACCAUAGAAUUGGAGGGUAAAUCGUUAUAACUCAACAACAAAGGAGCUAAAAGACCUUGCCCAAUCUCUUCUACUUUCCACAUUUCACUCUCUAAAAUUAUUUGCCACUCUUUUAUUGUACUUUUAGAGCGCAAGAGAUUCCCUAUUACCUUUGCAGCAAGAGGCAAGCCUUUGCACUUGUGUGCAAUUUUUCGCCCCAUUGGUUCUAAUUUUUCACGAUCCUCAAAAGAACAACCGAAAAAUGCUAACUGCUCGAACAAUGACCAGCAUUCCUCUUCAGCCAAUUGCUUAAUGGAGAUAAUAUUUGUUGAUCUCAUCAUUAGUGCAACUGACUCAUUACGUGUGGUAACUAAAAUUUUACUUCUAUGGUGACCAUUCUUUAGACAAAGGAAGAAUGGUUCCCAUUUAUUGUAAUUCCCAUCCCAUACAUCAUCUAAAAUAAGAAAAAACUUUUUUCCUUCAAUUGAUCUCUGGAUAUGGCUUAUAAGAGAUUGGAAUUCGCUUAAACCAGAAGCUUCUUUUGACUCGCCUAGACCUUCAAUGAUUGCUUUGGCAACCCUAAUCUCCUCAAAAGUGUCUGAUACACACACCCAUAUAACUUUUUCAAAAUUUCUUUUCACCUCAUCAUUAUUAUAGGCCAGUUGUGCUAGAGUGGUUUUACCUAUACCCCCUAACCCAACUAGUGAGAUGACAUGAAGGCCUUGUUGUUGUUCACUACUUUCACACAACAACUUGCUUAAGAGCUCAUUUUUCUCAUCAACUCUACCGCAAACCUCUCCCUCAUCAAUCAAGGAGGUGGUUCGCACUCGCUCUGGUUUCUUGACAUUGUUACUCACAUUCUCAUCAAAUUUAAAGUUAAACUUAUCUUUUUGGGAGGCAAUAUCAUCUAGCUUUUCAUUGAUUCCCCUAAUCUUGACAGCAAUGUCAUGACGAAGACAGAGUUGUUUGAAACUACCAAAGCAGUUUGAUACAGCACAAAAGAAGGAACGUACCUUCUUCUUAUAAGGAGCAAGAGCAAGAGCAUUGUCAUCAUCAACGCCCUCAAUCUGCAAUUUGAGCCUUGAGGUGGUCCACUCCUCCAACACAUCUUCCAUGUCGUAAGAUGCGUCUUUGAGCUGAUCCAGCCAAAGAGUAACAGCUUUGUCGUGCUGCAUUUGCCUUUUCUCUGCAUCUUCCAGCACAGCUCGAAUGGCUUCAAGAUUGAUGGUAAGCUUUUUCACUUCUUGUCGGACACCAGUCACAAGCCUCGCCUGUUGUUUCACUUCAUCAGCCGCAACAGAGGUCAGCUGCUCCAGGUAGGGAUGGCAAUUUGCGGGCCUGGGCCGGGCUUUUUAAAGCCCAGGCCCAAGCCUGCAUCAUUCAAACGAAGCUUAGGCCCUUCAAAAGCCCGCUGCUGUACCGUGAACUUCCCAACAGUAACAUAUGAAAAAAUGCUACUUGCAUUGCUCAACUCAGAGGAGGAUAUAUCAAAAAAGAAAUAACAAAAUAUAUUUUGAUACCAAACAUAUAUGUUCUAUAAAUAAUUUUGCGAAUCUAGUCCCUAAAGCUCUACGCACAUCAAGAUUUGAGAAAAUAGUUUAUGGCAUCAGUAAUACGUUGUUUGAAUAGGUUAGCAAAUUAGUCAUCAGGGAAGCACCCACUGGGGGAACUUAUCAGGGGGAGUGCGUGCAAUCUUCCAAAAGAAGAAUUUCUAUAGCUAAACUGGAUGUAUGUGUAUUGUACUUUAUUGCAAAGAUUUUUAAUAAGGUAGUUUUGAAGCAAGUCCAACACUAUUUUAUGAUUGAUUAAAUUUUGUUUCCUUCGCUUGGGUUUUUAUCCCAUUCAAUUUUCCUAACAAAGAUUAAGUAUAGGGAUAGCAAUUUGCGGGCUUGGACCGGGCUUUUCGAAGCCCAAGCCCACAUCAUUCAAACAAAGUCCAGGCCCUUCAAAAGUCCGCCCAAACGGGCCGGAGUUUUUUAAAUUAAUUAUAAAAUAUUUUUUAAAUUAAGAAAAAAUAUUUAAAUUAAAGAUAAUAAUCUAAUAUAUAAAUAGAAUAAUGGUCAAAUACAUGAAAUAUUAGUAAUACAACCUAAUAAAAUAACAAAUACUAAUAUAAAAAAUUAAACUAAUUUAAUAUUUUGAAUUUUUUCUUUUUUAUUUAAAUUAAAUUUAUUUUUUAUUCAUAAAUUUAAAAAGCCCGGGCUUGCUAAGCUCUUGUCCAGGCCCAACAUAUGCGGGCUUUGUAAUUUUUAAGCCCAUAUCCAUACCCACCCGUGCGGGCCGGGCUUGACCGGGCCGGGCCAAGCCCGAACUUUUUUGCCACCCCUAGCUCCAAGAGAGAGGAAACGAUCGCAUCAGCCAUUCUGACAAAGAAGACGAGAAUUCUAAAGAGUUAUUAGAUGUGCUUUUCUUGCGAUGAUACUGAAAGAAAAGGAGUUAUUGCAUUCUUUUAUAAUGCAUAGAAAAAGUUUAUGCUUAUCCCCACCCCACACGUCAAUGAUUGUAGAAUGUUUAAUUUCCCUGAUUCUACUCCACUAGUUGUGAUGCGUAAUUAUAAAUAUUCUCAAGUUAUGUAUGAAAUAGCACAAAUUUGGAUCUAAUAAUGAUUUUUAUGCUUUUUGUGUGUUCACUUUUUCAUAAUCUUCUACUUUAAAAAAUGAGCACAAAAAUAAUAUCAAGCAUUAACUCAAAUUCACAAAGGAAUAAAUGACGAAAAGAAAAAAGAUUGGAGAAAUCAUAUUGGUAAAUUAGCACAUUGUUUUUUUAAUAAUCUCGAUAAAAUUAGUAAUAUUCAUAUUAGUCCCUAAAAUAUAAAUAUAUAUGACUAAAAAAAACUCUUGGUAGUCUCCACGAUCAGAAUUUAUUGAAAUAUUUUUAGCCUAGGUAAAAAAGCAAGUUCCCAACUUCCCCGUUAGGUAAAUCUGAAAUCCUUUCUCGCAGACUUUUGCACAAAAUAGAGUGUGAGUACUACAUUUUACGAUCUAACAAAAUGAUUUUUAUUAUUGUAAAACUAUUAACAAUAACCUAAAAUACUAUAUCUGCAUGUUAUUUUUAUUAUUAACAAUAAACUUUUAACAACUUUUAUGCAAAGGAGUCCCCACUCUCUACCUGGGGGAAUUUGGCAUUGGAUGCAAAAAUUAUGCUUAUCUUUAAUUUCCCUGAUUCUACUCCACCGAUAAACACAUGUUCUGCACUAGCAUUUUUAAAUUCCCACACAUUAGGAAUUUGGCACAUAAUAAUAAAUAUUCUCAAAUUCGUCGCAUCUUUAACGUAUGACCAAGUGUUCUGUCUAUUUCACUUUUCUAUCUUACUACAAUUUCAGGGCGGCUCAAUCAUAUUUUAGGUCUUAAAUAAAUUGAUUUAAUUAGACCUUCCAAAAAAUUUGAGGUGAAAUAUGUGUAUUAAUUUUAUUAAAGUUUUAUUUAUUUAAAAUAAAUUUCUCUACCUUUCUGAGAUGCAAAAUUAUUAAUCAACUUUUUAUAUUCUAAUUUUGCUAAUAUAUCUUUCCCAAUAGAUAAUAUAGUUAACCUAUUUAAUCUUUCCUAUGACAUGGUUGAUCUUAAAUAAUUUUUUAUCAAUAGCACUUUUUUAGAUUAAGCUAACUUUUCUAUUCCUCUCCUUUUAUGAAGUUUUUUGUAUCAUGAUGCAUAGUUUUUAGUAGACAUUUUUUUUUUUCUAAGGAAACAAGAGUAAUCAUGCAAACAAUUAUGCUAGAUAAUUAAAAGCAACAACCUAUGAGCAGAAUAAUAUUUUUACAAAGAAACAAAAACACCUAAAUAACACAAUUAAUUAAUUAGAGAAUUGGAAGAUCAAACCUGAAAAUUUGAGAAAUUUAACUUUGAUGGAUUGAGGCUUUGAGCAACAAUGAUCAAAAGAAAGUAAAACAAUUAAUUUUCUUUUCUUACUAAUGCAAAAAGUAAGGUAGAGAAAGUAGUUUUUUCACCAAAGCAAUGAAGGUUUUGUGUUUUUUUUAUUGGAAAAAUAUAUUAAUGGAUAAUAAUUUAAAAAAGGUGUGGCCUUUAUAGAGUUUUAAAUGAAAUAAAUGGAGGAAAUAAAUGGAUUAAAAUUGUUAAUUAUAUUGUUAAAAGGGGAUUUUGUAAGAAUCUAGUAGUUUGUUUAUGGAAAAUAUAGUUAUAAAUAAUAAAGAAAAAUCAAUAAUUAAUAACUAUAAUUUAGGAUAAUAAAUAAUAAAUAUAAAUCAAUAAUUAAUAAUUAUAAUUUAGGAAUUAAAUUAGAAACCUUCAUUUAUAAUGGGGUCCUAGGUUAAAUGUGGGGCCCUGAACAACCACCUAAAUUAUCCUAAGUUGCCUGAGGUAAGAGCCACUCCAGACUGUAAUACCAGGUAGAGGAAUUCAGUUUCCCCAAGGGAUGGAAACGAUGGCAUCAGCCAUUUGAUGUUAGAUUUAAAUGCUAAAUUUUACAUUUGCUUUUGUUGCGAAAGUGCUCAAGGGAAAGUAGCUAUUGUGUAUUCAGUGAGAAUGCCCAUUCAAACAUUUUUGCAUUCUUCUUAUGCUACAUGAGAUAUUUAAUUUUUACCCUUAGAGUCGAUGUCAAUGUAAAUGCUUUUAUGCUGCAAAUUAAAGAAAUCCCAAUAGCAGUCACCGUCUCGGGCUAACUUUCCGCUCCACCACAACAAUAAUUGUACAACAUCUGCCCUGUUUCUCUGAUUCAUAAUAAUUAUGCAGAUUACUCCGCACCAACAUUUGUAAAAUUUCUUACAUUAUAAGUAACAAAAUAUUUGUAAACUACGACAAAAACUUAAAACAAUCUACCGAUGAACCUUCAGAAGUUAUAUAUAAUAGAUUAACUUAACCUAGAAUAAUCUUAGUGCUGUAACAAUUUAAAAAUAAAUGAUGUUUUAUUAUAAAAACAUGUACAAGUAAUUGUCCCAUAUAAAAGGUAUCUUUCCACUUAAGAAUGUAUCAUUUCAUAUUGCCAUUUCAUUUGAAAUGGUGAUGGACCAAUUUAGACAAUUGAUUAAAAUCAAAUCUUGAUCCAAUGUGUAACGCCACAAAUUUGCAUAAUAUUAAAUUAUGGAAAUUGGGCUUUCAUUGAGAUUUAUGGGUGGCCUAUAACCCUUAUUAAGAAAGGGAUACUAAUUAUAAAUAGAGGUUAUUUAUGAGAUAAUUUUGGAAAAGGGUUAUUUUUCCUAAUUAAAUAGGGUUUCUUAAGACUCCCUAUAAAUUCAUAUUUUUUCUCUUCCAUAACCCUAAGUCCAUGACGUUUAUUCUUCUUCUCUGCUGCUCUUUACACUUCUACCCAAAUCCUAGGAUUCAAACCUUUGUUUAGGAGAGAAUCAAAGCGACGGGUAAGUUAUUCUCCUUAUUCUCAACAGAUUUCUUAUCACUCUAUCUAGGGUUUAUAUUGGCACGAUUUUAGAUGGUUAUAGAUCUUAAUGCAUGAUUUAGAAUGUAUUUAGGCUUUGUUUAGGGUUUUGAUUUAUUAUGAGUUUAGUUAAUCAAUCCUUGACGUAUUAAGCGCAGGAUAAUUCUGGACAGUAUGAGUAUCUCGAAUUUAAACCUAUAUUUUCUGAACGAUGUUUCUUAUAAAAUUCAUAUUUCUGGAAACUAGACAUGUAGGGCUUCUUGAGUAAAUUUUAUUUCAUUAAAUUCGACUUCGUUUUCAAUUUUAUAUGUAUUUUCGAAAUAGAAACCACUGCACUGGAAAACUGCGAUUCCAGCAUUGCGAUCGGAUUCAAAAGACUAUUUGUACCAUCAAAUGAACUCUGAAAAUUCUGAAAGUUUAUAUGUAGGUUAAUAUAUGUGUCUAGGAUUCCCAGUUUUAAUUUCAUAAUUUUCUGAUUAGUAUUUUAUUUUAUAAAAAUCACGUAACCCGUUCUGUUUGGUUUAGAUUAUGUGAAAACAGUUUCGAAUUUGCUGAGAAGUAAAUAGUUUUUAAAAUGUUUUUGAUAUCGGAUCCUCUUGUAAAUUUUACAUGGGGUACUCAUGGAUGUCCAGAAUAGUCCCAUAGAAUAUUAUAUCAUUCUGAGUCUUAGAUUAAGAGUUAAAAUUCUGAGAAUCAGACCUGUACGGGUAUGAAUUAGAAAAUCAGAUUCUUAGAAUAAGUUAUUAAUUGUCAUAUCUUGUAUUUGUUUAAGGUAUUGAAGGUGAUUGAGACUCUUAGAAGCUUGGAGGUGUGUUUAUUCAAAUUCAUUUGUCGAGGUAAGUAACUUCAUUCCUAGUAUACUGGAUAUGUAUAAGUAUUUUGAUAUUAUUAUUAUAAGUAUAAAUGUUUUUAUACUACUUAAAGGCUUAAUUGAUUUUGAUAAUAAAAUUAGUUUUAUGUAAAUGUUUUAAAGCUAAAUUCUUUUUAACAAAGUAUUUUAUAGAUGCUUUUGAAUAUGUAAGUUAUUUUGUUAUAUGCCUACUUUUAUGAUUUUAUUUAUAAAAUGUUAUGCAAGCCUAAAUUAUUGUUAUGAACUUUUUAUAAAUUUGAUACGAAUGCUUUGUACCCAUGUAUGUUUUCAAUUAUUGAUGAUUGUAUGGGAUUCCUAAUGUUUUGGCUCAUUUUCCAUAGUUCUUCUUAUUCUCUGCUGUACGGCCAAUUAUUGAUGAUUGUAUGGGAUUCCUAAUGUUUUGGCUCAUUUUCCAUAGUUCUUCUUAUUCUGAUUCUGAAUUCUGAUCGUAAUAUACGAUAUAUCUGUCUGGACCAGUACUGGGUUUCUGUUUGAGUGUGCACACGAUAUUCUGAUUCUGUUUCUGGCCGGGUCACCGGGACUAUAGGUGACACUAUGUGACAUGAGCUAACCUUUUUGUUUUCUGUAUACGUAUUACAUGAUUUGCUUCGUAAGUAAAUAUGCUUUUGAAUAUUCUGAAUUAUAUGAAAAUUAUGGAUUAAUUAUGGAUUAUGAUAUAUGCUUUAAACAAAAGAAGGCUUGCAAUAUUUUUGGUAUCGAUAGGCCUAGUGUGUUAGGAAUGGUUUUACUUACCGAGUUGACGGCUCACCCCUCGUCAUUACUUUUUGCAGAUUAAGUUUCUUUUGAGAGGUGCGCUUAGCUUUGGAGUUAGUAAUUUUCCAUUUCCGUUUGCCAUUUGAAUAAGAGGAGGAAUAGACUCGUGUUUCUAUUUAGUUAUUUCUAUUAUGAACGUGUAAUUUGGAUUUUGAGACUUUUGCUAUUAUUUUUAUGUGCUUGGGAGAGAUUAUUUAGUAUUAGACGUUUGAAUUUGUGGAUUUAUUUUGAAUAAGAAUUGGAGGUAUUUCAGUUUGAAACUUAUGAGUAAAGAUUGUGAUUUGUGAGUAACCUCCUUCUUCACGUGCUCCGCACGUGUUAGAUUUGGGGUGUUACACAAUGACCAUAAAUGAAUGGGUAUCAUGAAAAAUGACAAUCCAAAUGGAGGGCACAAGUAUAUUUAUAAAUAGAGGCCAUGUUUAGUGAAAUUCUAGUUAUGCAACCUAAGAGGGGGGGUGAAUUGAGAUUAUAAAAAUCAUACAAUUUUUAAGGCAUGCAAAUAUAAAACGAAUUUAAAGCAAUAACAAAUAAAUUUAUCACAAUAUAAAAAGAUAAGGUAAGAGAGAUUCAAACAUGAGGAUUUUUACGUGGUUCGGCCAACCUCGCCUACGUCCACGCCUCCAAGCUUUCUGGGCUUGAGGAUUCCACUAAGCAAGCCUCCAAGGCUUCAAAUGCUUACACUUGACUUCUAAGGUGUCAAUAAACCUUUACAACAAGAGAUUAUCCCCAAUCUCUUAACCCAAGUGUAUCCCAACACUUACAAUUAGUCAAUUUGAUUUUAAAGAAUGUUACAAAAUAAAUUUCUCUCACACUAUGUGUUUGAUUACAAAUGAAGACUCAAAGUGUGAGUAAAUGAGAUGAAUACAAGAAUUUAAGGCUCAAUGAAUGUUGUAUGCUCAAGACUUUGCUCAAUAAUAAUUGUUGGAAUCGUUUUAGUUUGAAUUUGAUUGAGCAUAUUUAUUGCUGGAGCUGAAAACUAGCCGUUAUUGACUUUCUGCACACUGUCGGAUCACCGUUUUAAAUAGUCAAUAUGAUCGUUGGGCUGAAUUUUUAAAUUGUUGGAUCGCCGUUAUCUAGAUGUCGGAUCGUCGUUAGUGUCCAGAGACUAAUCUUCAAUUCUGUGCAAUGUCGGUUAGCCGUUAUCAAGUUGUCGGAUCGCCGUUAGUGUCCAAAGGCUAAUCUUUAGUUAUGUUCGAUGUUGGCGAGCCGUUAUCAAGAUGUCGGAUAGCCGUUUUCUACAGUAACUGCUACAAGGAACUAUUUUGCAAAAUAAUAGUUUGACCCCAAAACUUCAGAAAAUUAUACUAUGACCCAACCCUUUAUAAAACUUGUUAAAUAGAUCCAUUUAUAGGAUUUGAAACAAUAAUUGUUAUUAUCAAAAUUCUCAAAGCUUUUUCAAUUGAAACCAUUAACAUGAGAAUAACCAAAAAUAUUUCCAUAGAAUAUAAAGUCUUUAUAAAGUGAGAGUGAUGAUUUAAAAGUAUAUGAAAAUUAUUUUGAUCUUUUAAAAGAUUAAUCAAUCUUAAUAAAAUUUGUUAUCAUCAAAAUCAAUAAUAAAGAAAUAUUUAUGUUAGCAAUCUUUCCCUUUUUGAUGAUGACAAACUGUUCAAGAAAAUAUUUGUGCAAUUUUGCUCCCCCUAAAUAUGUGCUCCCCCUAAGUAAAAUAUUUAAGGAAUUUAACUUCCCCUAAAUAUGUGCCCAACAAUUUUUAAUCUCAUAAAAAAAAUUUUAAACAGAACAGAUUGAAUUGAUAAAUUAUAUCAUCAAUUUUUAAUCUCAUAAAAAAAUUUUAAACAGAACAGAUUGAAUUGAUCAAUUAUCUCCCCCUUAAUCAUAAAAAAGAAAUGAGCACGAAAAGAGUAAAAAUGAGAAGUUCAGAGAGUACUCAUGUUGGAAAAAUUUUGGCAGAAUCUCCCCUUAAAAAUAAACAUAUCCUCAACAAUACAAAUAGUUAAAACACUCCCAUAUAUACAUUCCAACUUAUCAACCAACCUCCAUUCCAACAAAUUCAACAUAAUCAUGAACAAUAACCAAACAUGUCAUCAAAAUCAACGAAAUCAUAAAUUGUAAUACCCCACACCCGAUUUUGACCCUGUUGACCACCCUUAUAAAUUGAGAGAGAGAGAGAGAGAGAGAAAGGAAAGAGAGAAUAGAAGAGAGAGAGAGAGAGGCGAAACCGAACCGGAUCCAACCCGGCCCGCGAGCGCGACCCGGCCGGUUCUCCCAUUUUUGGCCACCAUUCCGGUCAAGGUUGGUACCAAUUUGAAGCUUGAGAGACGAGCAACGUAUCCAUGCCAUCCUUGCCGCCGGAAAUCGAUCGGAAAGACACCGAUCGAAGCUUUGAAGUUUCGCGGAAUCGCCGCCUCGAUUCGCCGUGAUUUCGCUAGUUUCUGGUGAAGGCAUCACUUGGGUUUUGUUCCUUCGACCAUUUCCGACUAACCACUCACGUUGGGGACGUCGUUUUGUCGUUGAUCGGCCGUUGAAGGAUUCAUGACUUUGGGAGCUUGAUCUGGAGCCAUCACCGCGCGUGGGAGGUCACCACCGCCACCAUUGGACUCAGCGUGGCUUGAACUUUCAGUUCUGAGCUUCCCGUUGCCGUCGGUUGAAUUCUGGUGACCGUUGACCAGCAAGGGUAUUUCGGUAAUUUCACAAUCUAAGGGCAAUUUUGUAAUUUCAAAAUUUGUGGGUAUUUUAGUAAUUGUUGAAAUUGAGGAUAAACUUGGUAAUUUAUGAUUUUGAGGUUAAUUUGGUAAUUUUGAUAUUUGAGGGUAUUUUGGUAAUAUUGAAUUCAAGGGCAUUUUGGUAAUUUUGAUAUUUGAGGGUAAUUUCGAAAUUUCAAGAAUUAUCAGUAUUUUGAUGAUUUAUGAUUUAAAUUAAGAUUAUUUGAGGUUAAGUAUGGAAUGUGAUUAUAUUGAGGAAUUUGAGAAUAUUGGAGUUUAUGAUUAAGGUUUAAUUUUAUUCUUAUGAGAGUAUUUUUAUUUAUUUUUAGGCCGAUGAUAUCGAUGUGCAUUUGUUACUCAAGGAUACCAGGAGGUAAGUAAACUAGAUUUCCAAACGAAUCACAAUAAACAAUAUAUAUGUUUGACAUGUUUGGAAAGCCUAUUUUUAUAUAAGUACGGAUAUUGAUUUAUAUGCUCUGCCCAUGUGUUUAUACGAUGUGUUGAUAUGAUGUGUUGUUAUGUGUGUUUAUGGACAUGGGCAUACGUAUGCGUGAAUAUUUCAUUGGCAUGAGCACAAAAUGCAUUAUGUUUUCUAUAAAAUGAGAAAGUGAAUUUUAGCCAAAUGGAAUUUGUAGAAAGAAAGAUUGUUUUACAGUUUUAGCUUGGAUGCUUGAAUUCGUUAUUGGCUUAGUGGAAGACACUCUAGAUGUUUAUAUAGUUAUGAGAUAAGUGAGCGAAGGACGCAUUGGCGAGAAGCCCAAAGAGUAUGAAAGUUAUAAAAAUUAUAAAAGUUGAGGGAGUGUCCUACUAAGCGGUAAUCAAAUAAAGGUAGCUCAAGUAAGUGGUUUGAAAGAGAAUGUGAAAGUUUGAGAAAGACAGAAUGAGAUUUCAAUGAUUUGUUUUACGAUGUUUUCGAAUAUCAUGGCACGUCAUUCAUUUGCACUAUCUAUAUGUAUGUAUGUAUUUUGGUUUAUGCAAAACUAGUUUACUUAUUGAGUUUCGUACUCAUUAUAGUUUAUUGUGAUUCAGUUUCCGUAAAUCAGGAUUGAUUCGUGAGGAUCGUCGAGAAGGACUUGAAUGGAGGAAUUAGAUGGUUUGGCAUGAAUUUUAAAUUCUUCCGCUGCAGUUUGCGUUUGAUAUUUGUAUUUUCAAGGAUAUAAUUUUUAUGGAUUGUAAAAGGAUUAUUAUUAUUUAUUAUUAUUUUAUUUUUAAGCAUCUAUCAGUAAGAUUUGCCUUGUGGAGGUCGGGGCGGGUCGUUACAUAAAUAAAAUUCACAUAUCCAAUUAAAACAUCAUAAAAGCAUCACAAGAACAAUAAAAAAAACAAAAAAUACCACAACAAACUACAUGAAAUGAGUAAUGUUUGUGCGAAAAUCAUAGGGGCAGAAAAUUAAGAUGGGGGCGGUGAAGAGGAACUUCUGGGAUCAUAGCCAAGGUGACCAAGAAUGCGGCACUGUCCAGCAAGUAACUCCAUCUGCUGAUUUAAUAUCUGCCGCCAAAAAGUCACAAAAUCAGAUUGAAGCUGCUGCUGCUACUGGGAGAGUGUAUCCAUCUUGUCGAAAAGCUGCUAAAAGCGGUCCUCAGAAGCAGAAGAUGCUGCAGGAGGGACGGCUGGCUCAGCUGGCUCGUCAUCCGGAGAGGAAGCUGCUGCGGAUGCUGCUGCUGUUGCUCGGCGAGGGGCACGCGGUCUAGCCCUAAGGCGAAAGUCGGGUAACUCACCCUCGAAAUAGACAUCAUUUAGCAUGCGAUCAUCCUCUGGAGCAAUAAAAGUGUCUUCAUUCUUAGAGGAUGUUGUCUUUUCCCGCUUCCCACGCUUCUUAAAAAAUCCGAUCGCAGACAUAAUCUCUCGACCGAGCUUUCGGUUCUCGAGAUAAACAGGCUUAGUGGUUAAUGGGCCAAGAGUGAAGCACUAUAUGGGAGAUGAGGUGAACAGCCUAAUGAAGGAUCGGUUCUUGAAGGAUCGAGGUUGAGGAAACAAGAAAGGUCAGGCUUAAAGACCUAAAAUCAAGCGCUAAUUGGGAGGCAACCCAAUAAGGGAAGUUGUUUUAAAUUUUUAAAGCAUUAAAUUUAGUUUUUAAAUUAUUGAAUUUGUCUUGUUGUUAUUUUAAGUGUGCAUCUAAUUUUUUAUGUCUUUGUGUUAAAUUGCAGCAGGUAAAAAAAAACAAAAAAAAUGCGAAAAAAAGAGUAGGAAAGAAUUGCUGCAGCAUCACUUACAACAUGACAUAUAACAGAAGAUUCUCAAACAAUAGCGGCAUUUCUUGCUUUUGCAGCAGUAAAUGGGUUGAUCAGAUUUUAUGAUAAGGAGCGUUUGAGAAGUAUAUCAAAGAAAAAGUGACCUUUUACAGCCUAUGCUGCAGCAGUGCUUCCAACAACAGGGCAGUACCCCUAAACCGCUAGUUUAUUUUACUUCUUGCUGCAAAACUUUUCUUUCAUUUAGUUUUAAUUUUCUAAUUUAUUUUGCAUGUCCUUUUAUUUAGUGUAUACAUGUAUGGUUUAUGUGGUUUUGUUUUGUGUGCUUGUGAGGACACAACAUCACUCAAGUUUGGGGGGGUUGUGUUUCUGAGUGCAUGUAUUUAUGCUUGUGUUGUAUGAAGCUUUGUUAUCUAAUAUUUGUGUAUGAAUUUGAAAACCUAAUGAAGAUAAAUUGAGUGCUAUUCAGUAUUUAUGAGAAAGCUAAGUAGAGAUAGUUCUAGAUGGAGGUUGAACUUUUGUCCCGACACUUAGACUUUGGUUGAGUUUUAUGAGAAUACAGUAGCAGAGCCAAGAAAACCAAAAAAGAGUAGAAAAUAUCUCAAGUUUGGGGGAAAUUUUUUGUUGAACUGUGCUUGUUAUGAAAUAAAUUUUGCUCCAAUGCAAACUUGAGUCCAAAGGCAGCAAGAGUUAUGAGCAAUGCUGCAGCAAUUAUAUAUUGAAAAAAAAGAAAAAAAUGGUGAUGAAGGAAUGAAAAAUAAAGAGGUCCGCUGCCUAGGAUACUGAGUAACUUGGUCUGUUCAUGAGCCCCAUGUUCAACCUUGAGUCAAAGGCGUCCAAAGGCAAGACCUAGAUAUAACAUCCUAAAUGUGUUGCUGCAGCAACUCUGACAUGUACUUUGAGUGAAUAAUUGGGUGUCAUCAUUACAAGUGAUGUGCACUCACAUGAAAGCUCAAUGUUGCAUUGAAGGGUUUAACUGAAAAAAAAAAGUAUUAUUAUUGUAGCACAGUUUGAGUUUAUUUGUGAAUUCUACUCCCUCAUAUGUGAAUAUAUUUGUGUUCUAUCUCUGAAUUAUAUGUCUGUGUAAUGUUGUAGCACCUCUGAAACUUGAUCAAAGUGGCACACAUACACUCUGGACAGAAUGAAGCCUAGUUCUAGAACUAAACUACUAUGGUUAUUUUGCGUGAUUAAGAAUGUGAUAUGAGGGUUGAAGAAUCCUUACAAAUUUGAUGACAAAGCUAAGUUAUUUGUUGAAUGAUUGUGUGAUUGAAGUGUUAGUGUUAUUGUCAUUACUUGAGGACAAGUAAUGGUUUAAGUUUGGGAGUGUGAUAACUCUAUAAAAUGAGAGUUAUUAUGGCACUUUUAGACUUAAAUCAAUAUUGUUUAAAGAGUAAAUGAUGUGUUUCUAUUGUAUUUUGUUACAUUUUGCAUAAAUAUUCAUUUUAGUUUAGUCUUAAUAAGUUUUGCUCGAUUUAAAGUAAUUUGUGCUCAAAUUGUGUGCAAAAUUGUAGGUUUCCAGAAGUUUAUAAUUCAUGGAAGGAAUGCUAUGCAAUAGGGUUGCAAAAACAAGGAAAGAACAUGGCUAAAAAAGAGUUGAAACAAAUCUGGAACAAUGCAGUUGCUGUAGAUAUUGCUGUAGCAACCAUUGCUGUAGCAAUCCUGGAACAACGACAGAGAAAAUUUCGCUCGGGAUACUUGCAGAAUUCCGAUCUGCAGUUUCCUAAUAUGACUUAUGCGCGCCCUAAGCUUCCGUUUACCCUAAUUUUCAACUAUAAAAGAAGCACACAUCAUAAGGAAAAGAGGGAGCCGUCACCCAAGGAAAAAAACACAAAGAAACAAAAGAAAAACAAGAUUCAAGAGAGAGAUUAAGGGCUGCACAAGAGGAGAAUUUGCAGAAAUCAAUUGGGAGCUCAAUCAUUCUUAUUCUUCUCUUGUUUUCGUGUUUUCUAUUUAUACAUGGGGAUGCGUUUCAUGGCUGAAACUUUGUUCUUUAUUUUUCUUUUGCAAACCAUGAACUAAAUUUAUUUGUGAUUGAGUGAUAAACAAUCUUGAUAGUUUAUUGACUGAAUAUAUGUGUUGUUGCAUGUUUACUGUAGCAGUUUGUUUUGAUAGUAUUUAUUUUUAUUCAUUAUUUCGGUUGAUCACUCAUUUAAUGAUACAAGUUAGGAGAGAACCGCAAAAGGGCCUAUCUUAGUGGAACAUAUCAGGGCAAUACUUGGUUUAGAUUGAGUUUCCUGGAUUGAGUUUAACUUAUUCCAAAAGGGCCAUGCUUCAUUUAAAAUUAGUGAUGAACUAGACAUAGGGAUUCACCUUGUAGGGUAAAUAGAAUCUAAGCGUGUAAUGCUAUAUCUUAUGUUGGCACAACAACUUAUCACUGUUAGGCUGCAUAUAGAUAUAAGAUAUCCAACAUGCGACAACUGAGGAUACAUAAGGAUUCUGCCCAGUGCUGUAGCAAAUACUGCAGCAACCGAGCCAACCAUCAGAAAAUAGUCAAGACCAUUAGGAGAGUUUAGUCACUCAACUACUAUAUAUUCCCAUUAGUUUUAUCCUUGAGCUUGAUGUGAUAGUUUACUUUGUUGCAUUUAUUUAUUGCGUUUUUAUUUUAAUUAGUACAUUAGUUUCAUUAAUUGUUUAUUUUAUUUUAGCACAAAAUCUGCACUGUUAAGAUUGUUGUAGCAAAUCUGAUAACAUCAAUCCUUGUGGAGACGAUCUUGAAUACUCAUCACUUUAUUACUUGUUGUGUACACUUGUACAUUGACACCAAUAGCAUUAGUAUUUAUACACCAACAGUACCUAUGACGGAUUGGUGUUCCGGUUUAGGACCGCAAAAGGGCCUAUCUUAGUGGAACAUAUCAGGGCAAUACUUGGUUUAGAUUGAGUUUCCUGGAUUGAGUUUAACUUAUUCCAAAAGGGCCAUGCUUCAUUUAAAAUUAGUGAUGAACUAGACAUAGGGAUUCACCUUGUAGGGUAAAUAGAAUCUAAGCGUGUAAUGCUAUAUCUUAUGUUGGCACAACAACUUAUCACUGUUAGGCUGCAUAUAGAUAUAAGAUAUCCAACAUGCGACAACUGAGGAUACAUAAGGAUUCUGCCCAGUGCUGUAGCAAAUACUGCAGCAACCGAGCCAACCAUCAGAAAAUAGUCAAGACCAUUAGGAGAGUUUAGUCACUCAACUACUAUAUAUUCCCAUUAGUUUUAUCCUUGAGCUUGAUGUGAUAGUUUACUUUGUUGCAUUUAUUUAUUGCGUUUUUAUUUUAAUUAGUACAUUAGUUUCAUUAAUUGUUUAUUUUAUUUUAGCACAAAAUCUGCACUGUUAAGAUUGUUGUAGCAAAUCUGAUAACAUCAAUCCUUGUGGAGACGAUCUUGAAUACUCAUCACUUUAUUACUUGUUGUGUACACUUGUACAUUGACACCAAUAGCAUUAGUAUUUAUACACCAACAGUACCUAUGACGGAUUGGUGUUCCGGUUUAGGAACUAAUUCCCACAUAUUGUUUCUUUCAAAUUGAUUUAACUCCUCUUGUAUUGUCAUAAUCCAAGAUUCAUCAUUUUCCGCAUCCUCAAAGGAUUUGGGUUCAAUUUGAGAAAUAAAUGCAUUAUGCUCACAAGUAUUCCUAAGUGAUGAUCUAGUUGCAAUACCUCGUGAGGGAUCUCCUAAAAUUACAUCCUUAGGGUGAGAAGAAACAUACCUCCACUCUUUGGGCAGUGAUUGAGAAGUACCUUCAUUUUGCUCUACAUUUGUUUCUUCAUGUUGCUCUACAUUUGUUUCUUCAUGUUGCUCAUUUUGAUUCCCAUGAGACGCAUCCUUUUGGUUAUCUUUUGAUGACUCUUUUUGUAAGUCUUCAUCUGCAUCAUUAUCAACAACAACUUUCUCCGUAGAGGAGGGGUUAGAUUAAUCAAAUGUAACAUGCAUCGAUUCUUCUACAACUAGAGUUCUUUUGUUAUAAACUCUAUAAGUUUCGCUUGAGUUUGAAUAUCCAAGAAAAAUACCAACAUCGGAUUUUGAAUCAAAUUUGCCAAGAUUAUCUUUUGUGUUCAAAAUAAAACAUUUGCAUCCAAAAACUUUGAAAUAACCAAUAUUAGGUUUUCUAUCUUUCCAAAGCUCAUAUGGAGUUUUAUUAAGAUUAGUUCUAAUGAACACACGAUUUAAAACAUAAGAAACGGUGUUGACGGCCUCGGCCCAAAAAUACUUAAGCAAGGAAUUUUCAUUCAACAUAGUCCUAUCCAUUUCUUGAAUUGACCUAUUCUUUCUCUCAACAAUUCCAUUUUUUUGUGGAGUUCUAGGUGAUGAAAAUUGAUGCACAAUGCCUAGAUUAUUGCAAAAGGUUUCAAAUGCAUAGUUUUCAAACUCUCUUUCAUGAUCACUUCUAAUGCAUGCAAUACCAUACCCUUUUUCAUUUUGAAUUUUCUUACAAAGUACUUUAAAAGCAUCAAGAGCAUCAUCCUUAUUAGUUAAGAAUAAUACCCAAGUGUAUCUUGAAAAAUCAUCAACAAUUACAAAAGCGUAAUAUUUUCCAUUCAAGCUAGCAUACCUUGAAGGUCCAAAUAAAUCUAUAUGAAGUAAUUGAAGCGGUUUUGAAGUAGAAAUAUAAUUUUGGCUUUGAAAAGAGGUUUUAAUUUGUUUACCAAAUUGGCAUGCUUCACAAAUUUUAUCUUUUUGAAAACCAAUUUUUGGAAGACCUUUAACUAAAUCAUUUUUGGAAAUCUUUGAAAUUAAAUCCAUGCUUGCAUGUCCUAGUCUUCUAUGCCAUAACUAACUAUCAUCAUGCAAUGCCGAAAAACAUUUAUCAUUAGUGGAUGCACAUUCUAUGUCAAUGGUAUAAAUAUUACCACAUCUAUUUCCAAUAAAUAAAAUCUUGUUAUCACAUGCAUUCUCAAUAAUACAUUUAGAUUUAUCAAAACCAACUUUAUAACCUUUGUCACACAAUUGACUAAUAUUAAUCAAAUUGUGUUUCAAGUUUUCAACUAAACAUACAUUUUCAAUUAAAGUUGACGAAAUUUUACCGACAUUUCCAACUUCGAGAAUCUUUCCUUUUGAGUUAUCUCCAAAAGAAACAUCUCCACCAUUUUCAAUUUUGGUGAAACUUGAAAACCAUGUAUAGUUUCUGGUCAUGUGCCAUGAGCAACCACUAUCCAAGAACCACUUAUUUUUCUUUUUCUUUAAUCCCUGCAGAAAAAGUUUCUAAGUUUUAGGUACCCAAAACUUCUUGAGUCCUUGUAUGUUAGCAAUGGUUCCUUUUGGAACCCAAAUACAUUUCACACCAUAAUAUGCAUUUCUUUUUGCUGGACAUCUAUUUUUCAUGUGUCCAUCUUGAUUACAAUGAUGACAUACAAUUUGAUUGUUAAUAGAAGUACUUUUCACAAAGUAGUUCUUAUAAUAUUUUUGUUUUAAGUUUGGCUUAUAUCCAAUACCUCCUUUAUCAAACACACAUUUUUUGUGAAUUGAGCAUGUUUUCCAACAUCUUUUGUCCAUUUGUAAACUUUAGCACAAUUUCAUUUAGUUCAUUAUUUUUCUUCUUAAGCACUUCAUUCUCUUUCAUUAACUCAUCCACAUGUGAUUUUUCAUGUUCAUAAGUGCUUUAUUUACCUUUAAGAGCUAAAGUUUUAUCAUGCAACAUUUUAUUCUCUAAUUCUAAUUCUUUUAUCUUCUCAUUAUUGCAUUUUUCCAGGGCAUCCUUUUCAUUUGUAAGUUCUAGCAUUUUCUUUUUAAGGCAUGCAUUCUUUUUACCAAUUUUCAUCAACUCAUCAUGUAAUUCUUCAAAAGCAUCAUACAACUCAUCAUAGGUAGGAUCACUUACCUCAUUGAGAUCAUCAUCAUCUCCUAUUUCCAUAAGUGUUAGGUUUGAUGCUUCAUGCAAUUCAUCUUCAUCACUUGAAUCUUCAUCGCUAUCAUCCUAAGUAGCAACCAUGGCUUUCUUCUUGAAUUUGUUGAGAAGUGGGCAUUCCGAUCUUAUAUGGUCGGGCUUUUAGCAUUCAUAGCAUAUGAUUGCCUCUUUCUUCUCCUUUUGAUUCUUGAAGUUCCUAAAUCUUCUUCGCUCAUCGGUUUUCUUGAAGAAUUUUCUAAACCUCAUUUCUAGCAUGGCCAACUCCUCAUCAUCCGGUUCACUUUGCUCAUCACUCUCAAAUCAUCAAGAGAGUAAAGUAUUUAAAUUUUUGGCCUCUUAAAUAGCAGUCCUCUUAGGUCUCCAUUCCUUAGGAAGUGACCUAAUGAUUUUCUUUACUUUCUCACUAUUUGAGAAUGUUUUUCCCAAAGCUCCUAGGGUGUUCACUAUGUCCGUAAAUCUAGUAUACAUAGAAUACACAUUUUCAUUUUGUUCCAUUUGGAAUAAUUCAUAUUGACGAGUGUAUCUACUAAUUUUAAUCUCUUUAACUUGAUUUGUCCCUUCAUAGACAACUUCAAGUUUAUUCCAUAUUUCUUGUGCACUUUCACAACUAGAUACUCUAUGGAAUUCUUUAUUAUCAAGAGCACAAAACAAGGCAUUCAUUGCCUUGGAGUUUAAGGACAUCUUUCUCUUUUCUAACUCACUCCAUUGACUUGAUGGUUUAGGAAUAUCAUCUCCUUCAUUUUUAAACAUAGGCAUGAAUGGACCAUCAUAAACAACUUCCCAAAUUUCAUAAUCUAAAACUUGUAAAUAGAUUCUCAUCAUAGUUUUCCAAUAUGCAUAGUCAUUACCGUCAAAGAACGGUGGUCCAGUUGUGGAUUGUCCUUCUCUAAAAGUUGAGUCAUUUAGGGUUGCCAUUGAUCUUUUACUCUAGAUGAUUACGUCCUAACAAGAGAACAAGGCUCUAAUACCAAAUGAAAUUCUAGUAAUGCAGCCCAAGAGGGGGGUGAAUUGGGAUUCUAAAAAUUAUACAAUUUUUAAAGCAAAACUCAAUGCAAAUAUAAAACGAAUUUAAAGCAAUAACAAAUAAAUUUAUCACAAUAUAAAAAGAUAAGGUAAGAGAGAUUCAAACAUGAGGAUUUUUACGUGGUUUGGCCAACCUCGCCCACGUCCACGCCUCCAAGCUUUCCGGGCUUGAGGAUUCCGCUAAGCAAGCUACCAAGGCUUCAAAUGCUUACACUUGACUCCUAAGGUGUCAAUAAACCUUUACAACAAGAGAUUAUCCCCAAUCUCUUAACCCAAGUGUAUCCCAACACUUACAAUCACUCAAUUUGAUUUUAAAGAAUGUUACAAAAUAAAUUUCUCUCACACUGUGUUUGAUUACAAAUGAAGAUUCAAAGUGUGAGUAAAUGAGAUGAAUACAAGAAUUUAAGGCUCAAUGAAUGUUGUAUGCUCAAGACUUUAGUCAAUAAUAAUUGUUGCAAUCGUUUUAGUUUGAAUUUGAUUGAGCUUAUUUAUUGCUGGAGCUGAAAACUAGCCGUUAUUGACUUUCUGCACACUGUCGGAUUGCCAUUAUCUAGAUGUCAGAUCGCUAUUUUAAAUAGUCAAUAUGACCGUUGGGCUGAAUUUUCAGGUUGUUGGAUUGCCGUUAUCUAGAUGUUGAUCGCCGUUACUGUCCAGAGACUAAUCUUCAAUUCUGUGCAAUGUCGGUUAGCCGUUAUCAAGUUGUCGGAUUGCCGUUAGUGUCCGGAGGCUAAUCUUCAGUUCUGUUCGAUGUCGGCGAGCCAUUAUCAAGAUGUCGGAUCGUCAUUUUCUACAGUAACUGCUACAAUGAACUAUUUUACAAAAUAAUAGUUUGACCCCAAAACUUCAUAAAAUUAUACUAUGACCCAACACUUUAUAAAACUUGUCAAAUAGAUCCAUUUACAGGAUUUGAAACAAUAUUCGUUAUUAUCAAAAUUCUCAAAGCUUUUUCAAUUGAAACCAUUAACAUGAGAAUAACCAAAAAUAUUUCCAUAGAAUAUAAAGUGUUUAUAAAGUGAGAGUGAUGAUUUAAAAGUAUAUGAAAAUUAUUUUGAGCUUUUAAAAGAUUAAUCAAUCUUAAUCAAUUUUGUUAUCAUCAAAAUCAAUAGUAAAGAAAUAUUUAUGGUCACAACUUUUAUACGUUGGCAAAAAAUAUUACAUUUCUUGUUGACAAGCCUCAAUGUUGUUAAUGUUCUUACAAUUUCAAAGCCUGAAGAACGUGAGAAUGAGAAACUUGAGUGUGGCAAAAGUGGAAGCAAGAUGUCUACGUGUGCAUAAGAUACAUUUACAAUGCCGUGUCUAGUACUUUGUUUUCAUAAGUACCACAACAAAAUCCACUGCAAAAGAAAUAUAAGACUUAUUGGAGUCUAAGUACAUGAUGGAAGACACCACAAGUAAGAAAUUCUUGACUUCUAAUUUUUUUUAGUUUUAAAAAGAUUGACAAUAGACUUGUGAUCGAACAAUAUAAUGAGAUUUUUUGCAUUCUUGAUCAAUUCAACCAACACAACAUGAAAAGUAAUAAGUUUAUUAUUAUUUCUUCAAUUAUUGAUAAACUUCCCCCCUCUUGAAAAGACUAUGAAAAAAGUCUUAAAUAUAACAAAGAGGAAGUUAGCCUGGAAGGCUUGGCAAAGUCUUCAUAUUGAAUAGAAACUUAGACUUAAUAGUCUUGAGGAACAGACUGCUAUGUCCUAUGAAAUUAAUGUUGUGGAGGAGGAGAAGGAACUUAAGCAGUCUAAUACCCGCAUUAAUAACCAAAAGCAAAAAUUUGAUUCCAAAUAGAAUCAAACCAACAAAAAAAAAAAAAGGUGUACAUGUGACCAAUGUGAAAAGCCUAGCCACUUUCAAAAAGACUGACAAAGCAAAAGUUUGAUUCCAAAUAGAAUCAAACCAAUAGAAUAAAAAAUGAAGUGUACAUGUGACCAAUGUGAAAAGCCUAGCCACUUUAAAAAAGACUGUCAGCUUCUUAAGAAAGAAAAGAAGGGUUCGAACACAAAUUUUGUGGACAAAAUUUAUGGCCAUAAUAUCUUAGAUUAAUAUUCUCGAACAUGAUAAUGCAUGGUGAAUAGAUUCCGGUGCAAUCAAGUAUGUGUACAAGAAUCGUAGGCUUUUCACAUCUUACAAAGCAAUGGAUGAUUGAAGUGUUCUUUAGAUGGGAAAUUCCUCCAUUGCAACAAUUACAGGGAAUGUGCAACUAGAGUUCACUUGUGGAAAAACUUUAACUCAUAUUGAUGUUUAUCAUGUAUCUAAAGGUAGGAAAAACCUUGUAUCUAUAUUUGGGUGGUACCUUAUUUGAGUCAAAGCAAAUUUGCAUUGUUUAAGGGUGGUACCUUUAUUGGGAAAGGAUACAUGUAUUUGGGAAUGUUCAAGCUCAAUAUUAAUAAAAUUAAUGUUUCUUCUUCUUACAUGAUUGACUCAUUAUUUUUGUAGCAUAUUCAUUUAGGACAUGUGAAUAUUAAAAGAUUGCAUGUUAUAGCUAAUUUAGAAUUAAUUUUUAAACAUGGAAAUAAUGAUACUACGUCACUCUCUUCUCGACCCUCUUUCCUGAAACAAAUUUUAUUGUAUAACAUCUAUACUAUAUGCAUCAAAUAUCUAAUAUAUUGUUUACUAUAGGAAUAAUAUAUUGAUUCUCGGAAAGCUUGCAACAUUCAAAAGUAUUCAAGUUUGCUUUCAUCGAUAAAAAACGCAAGCAAACAAAUAAGUGAUUCAUUGUAUCCUGGAGGUAUAUUUGUUUAGCCUAUAUGCAUCACUUAAUUGGUGGGACAAAUGAUAUAUUUAGGAAAGCGACAUUUGUAAUGUGCCUUGAAGUACACAUUAAUUUUCUACAAUUUACCUAUUACUAUGAUUUUAUUAUACUUACAGAAUUGUAAACACAUUAAUUAAUUAUUAUAAAGUUUCACUUCCACCUUUAUUACUGCAAUUCUCUAUAUUUGUCUUUCCCCACAAAUAUAUAUCCCAGCACUUAGUAGAUAUAUUAUUUUAUUAAAAAUAUCAAUAGAUUUUUAAUUGUAUAAUACAUACUUAUGAAAUUGUAUAGAGUAAUUUCGUUCAAUUAUAUUAAUCCGUUAUGAAUUUCAUCACAAAUUUAUAUGUGGCCAAUACCGUGCAAGUGAAAUUUCAGAUAAAAUCAUCUCCUAGCAAUUUAUUUUUUUAUAUUUUUCAAUUUUGCUUUAACGUAUGGAUCCAUUUCUUGUCUAUAUGGCAGACAACUUUUAUUAUCAGGUAGGCAAAAUCAAAAGCCUUUAUGUCGUUAAUUUUAUUAUGCCAUGACAGACUCCAAGAUCUAAUUUAGAGAGCGACUCAAAUAAUGGUAAUUAGUAAUUCAUUACAUCUGCAGUUAGCUAUAUACUUUGUUUGUGAAAAACAAAAAGAAUAAAAUCAGUUUCAUAAUAAUUUUAUUUACAAUAAAUACCAUACUAUGGUCCAUGACUUACCUCAUAUUACAAAGAAAAUAUGUGAAAGAUAAUUAAGGAUUAAAGCUUUCCACAAAGAUUUAUAAAAUUGCUUUUGAUAAAACUGUUCUGAUGAAAUGAAAUUAUAUGAAAUUACUAAGAAUUUAGUUAGCCUCUCAAAAAGGUUUAUUUAUUGCUUGACGUCUCGAGCUUAAAAUUCGAAUGUCAAAAUAGAUAAAAAGUUAAAAAAUUAUUUUAAAUUUUAUCCACCCGUUUACCAUUUUAAUAUAUAAAAAAAGAAUUACUUAUUUUUUAGUAAUUAUGACUAUUUUUAGCAAUAGCAACCGGGGGCAUAAUAUAUCUGAUAGAUUUUUUUUGGGGAACAAAGCUUAUUAUCUCUCUCUCCUAUUGCUUUAAAGUGUCAUCUCUUAUGUUAAACAAGUCUCAGCCAAAGAUUAAAUUGUCAUAUGUUCGUAAGAUAUUCACUUAGAAAAAUAAUUAACAAAACAAAAAUAAAAAAAUUCAGUUACUUUGACUUUAUUUCACAAAAUAUAAAAUUAAAUUUCUAUUAUAUGUAUAAAGUUUCUAUAUCAAGUGUUUAGGGGUCAAAUCAGUCUUUUUAUACAUAAUUUUUAAUAUUCACUUAGAAAUCUCAAAAACCUUCCAAAGCUUGUAGGGUCAUGAUCCCCUCUGGUAGUGGACAAAUGUGGGUUCAGAUCAACCUAAUUGCGUUUCUGGUUGAUAGGGUUAGAAUAUUCAAAUUGGAUUAGAUCGGAUCAAAAAUUCAAGUUGAAUUCGGAUCACAUUGGGUUAUAAUUAUAAGCGAGUUAUGUUGGGUUUGGGUUAAAAUCAUAUUCGGGCUAGUUAGGAUGGAUUCAAAUAAUGUUCGGAUUAGGGUUAUUUUUAAGCCUUUUUUGUUUAUUUUGAGUUUUUUUUAAUUAUUUUAGUUCUUGAAGAUUGUUUUAAAGUAAUCAUCUCAUUUCUUUUUUUUUUUUACCAAUUUUCAACAAAAAAUGAAAACUACUCCUAUGAAAUCAAAUUAAUAAAAAUUAAAAUAAACUACUACUAUCAGAUUGGAUUGGAUCUCCAUCUCUUCGUUCUUCUACAUUUAAGGUAAUUUUGAGCCAUCCAUAGUGUAAUUAGUUCCUCUUUAUACAUAUUGUAACCUUUUGAAAAGAUAGCACAAUGUGAGAAAUAUUGUUUUACUAUGGACGACAAAUCAUUAUAACUUAACGACAAAGGAGCCAAAAGACCUUUCCCAAACUCUUCUACCUUCCACAUUCCACUAUCUAAAAUUAUUUUCUAUUCUUCUAUUGGUCAUUUAUAGUGUAAGAAUUUCCCUAUUAUCUUUGCAACAAAAGGCAAGCCUUUGCACUUACAUGCAAUUUUUUGAUCGAUUGAUCACGAUCCUUGAAGAAUUGACCCAAAAAUGCUACCUCCGUAAACAAUGACCAACAUUCUUCUUCAAUUAAUUCCUUAAGAACUGUAAGAUUUGUUGAUCUCAUCAUGCUUGCUACUAACUGAUUACGUGCAGUAAUCAAAAUUUGACUAUCGUAGAGACCAUUCUUUAAACAACAGAAGAAUGGUUCCCAUUAAUUGUAACGUCCAUCCCACACAUCAUUUAAGACAAGAAAAAAGUAUCUUUCCCUCAAUACAUUUAUGAAUAUGACUUACAAGAGAUAACCUAAUAUUUGUCUGCUACCAUUCUCAGGUUAUAUGCGUCCUUCAUGUCUUGCAAGACUGCUCCUUUGACCAUCUAUCUGAUAACCUCCACAGUUGUUGUCUACAUCCCUUGAACAUCGUCUCCGGUAUGGUUGCACCUUUGAUUGUGUGGUCGCACCAUGAUGACAAGUGAACUUGCUCUGAUACCAGCUGAUGAUGCAGAAACACUGAAAAGCUAUUAGAUAAUAUAAACUAGUAUUUGAAUAAUAAGUUUUAUUGAGAAUAAUUUGAAUGAACAAAAUUAGGGUUUUGAAACCCAUUUAUAGGAGCCUAAAUAUAGCAAAUUUAACAAACUAAGCAAAUUCAAAAUAUUAUAUGAUAAUAAAAUUCUUCGAAUCUAAAUAAGAGAAAGAAAACAGAUGGCACUUGAAUCCAACAUCUAGAAAAAAUGAUAAAAAUCCUAGAAGAAUCAAGAAAAAUAGAAAAAUAUCUUAAAACUGAAAAACGACUAUAAAAGAAGUGAAACUUUUAGCUCAAUCGCAGGGCAUAACAGCCUAGGUUGUUCUGUAUUUGGUUCGACUCAUCGCAAGCUUGGAAACUAUAUUAUAUGUCCAAAACAAAUACUCGUAGCCCAAUUUCUAGCCUCGGAAGACACCAUGCUUAUUCCAUGCAACUAUCUUAUAUCAAUUUGCCUUCUCUGCAUCUUCAAGCACAACUUGAAUGUCUUGAAGAUUUAUGGCAAGUCACAAGCAGCAAAGGAGUUCAGCUGCUCCGGGAGAGGGGAAGCGAUCACAUCCAUUCUGGCAAAGAAAAGGAGAAAUAAUUUCAUAAGUUGUUCAACGUGCUUUUGUUGCGAAAAUACUUAAAGAAACGAGUUGUUGCAUUCUUCUUACACUACAUGAAAAAUGUUUAUGGUUAUUGUCGCCCACCCCACGCGUCAAUAAUUUUAGCAUUUUUAAUUUCCCUGAUUCUACUCCACAGCUGUGAUACAUGAUUGUAAAUAUUCUCUAAUUAAUUUGUAGUGGUCGGGCCAGUGCCAUUUAAAACAAAAACAAAAAACCAAAAAAAAAAAAAAACGAAAGUUGGAAAAAAGCAUGCAUCACCGAUAAUUCAUUUAUUUGUUUGAGGACGGGGAUAUUUUCUACCCACUUAUUUUACAAAUCUACCUUGCUGUCAGAAAAUAAUUGUAAUACGUUCAUACUAUUUUUAAAAUAUAUAUAUCAAUAAAACGUAUAGACAAUCAAUAAAUUAAAUCAUUCAUAUAAUUGUUUUUUUUAACUUAGGUGUCUAUGAUCAUUUAGGUUGCUUUAAGAUAAGUUUUAUUUGACUAAUUUACCAUGAUAAUAUAAAAUGACUAAAAUACCCCAAGAAUCAAGAGUUCUUGUAUAUAAUAGUUUAGGUAUUUUAUUUUAUUUGAUUCAAUCUCCAAACUUAUUGUAAUUACAUCUUCUUUAUUUCAAUUUUUAAAAAAUAAUUUGAACUUAUUGUAAUUAUUUCUUGAGAGUGGGGUGGGUUAACAAAAAUUAUAGGCCUUUUCAUUUAUUAAUUCUUGGAAAUUAAUGGCUCCGUAAUCAAUUUCUUUUGUUCUUUUAUUUAAAUAGAAAAGAAAAAUUAAGAGGAGCUUUUGUCUAUUGAAUUGAGGUUCUGUGAAGAAAAAUACGUAUCAAAUGAUCGACGGAUUGAACUUUUCAAUUUUUACUUCACAGUACUUUUCUUUAUUUGCUGGGUCAUUUAUGUUUUUUUGGACGGAUUUAAGUGUGCUUAUACAUUUUAUUGAAUUUUAUUUUGAUAAAAUCACCAACGAUCAGUAGAGAUUUACACUACCUAUCUGAGUAUUUGGUUCUCUAAUGUAAGGAAGCAUGUAAUCUUUCGCCAAUAAUUUUUUAUUUCAUCAAAAUGUUAAAAUGUUGAAAGGAGAAUUAGAUUUUUUUUUAUAUAAAAAAGAGAAUUAGAGUUCAUAUUGAAGAAAAUUAUUUUUCCUACUAUAAAUCCAGUUCGAAUCUUUGAAGCAAAUGAUCUAAUCUCAAGCAUAGAAAGUAGGAAGAUCGAUUGAACAGCGGACACAUUAACAAAAAAUAAUUACUUUAAAAAGUUAAUAUUGGAUAUCACAAAAAUUUUAUUAUUAUUAUUAUUGUAAGUUGGUAUGUUGAAAAAUAAACAAGCUUUAUAUGAACUUUAAACACAGAUAAUAAUUUGCAUGUAGUAAAAUUGCUUAAUAUAUCCAUUAUUUUAUCAUUUUUAACUUUAUCUAUCGGUUAUUUUCAUUUUGAAAAUACAGGAUAAAUGAAAUAAUAACAAACACAUAUUUCAAUUGAAAAUUUAUCAACUUGAAAACACCAUUUUCAUUCUCAUAAUAUGAAUUUAAAAAUAAAAUACAGAACAUGCCCUAACAUUUUCUGAAUUUAUUUUUAUACUGUAAAAGAAUCAAAUUACUCACACAAUUAUUUUAGCUUUUAUGAUAUAAACAAAUAAUCAUCAUUUAAAUUCAAUAGAAAGAGGUAUUCUUGGUAGAAUUGACUUCUUUAGCAAAAUAUAAUCUAUUUGGGACUUCUUACUCCAUUAGGUUAAUUGUCACAUCAUUAAUUUUAGAUUAUAAACUUUAUAUUCGAACUUUGUAAGACCAUCAUUCAUGCAUUGUGGUCUUUUGUAUACUUUAUAGAUAUGUUUUUUUCUUAAGGGAUAAAACUCAUUAUGUGGCAAAAUUUUAUAAGAGCUGGGAUUAUUUAUAUCUGUUCUAGUACUUUGAGCAUCUUACUAUACAUUCGUCUAUAAAAUUUUAACAUUAGUUUUUACUACUCAUCGAAAUAUCAAAAUUUAUCAACUUGAAAACACCAUUUUCAUUCUCAUAAUAUGAAUUUAAAAAUAAAAUACAGAACAUGCCCUAACAUUUUCUGAAUUUAUUUUUAUACUGUAAAAGAAUCAAAUUACUCACACAAUUAUUUUAGCUUUUAUGAUAUAAACAAAUAAUCAUCAUUUUAAUUCAAUAGAAAGAGGUAUUCUUGGUAGAAUCAGGAGCGGAUCCAGGACUUAAUAUUACCCCGGGCUAAAUUUUAAAAUUUAUAUUUUGAAGCGAACAUAAAAAUUUAUAUAUAAAAAUAAGUAUAUUAAAUAAGGAGGAAUACCAAAAAUUUUAUCUCUCUAAAUAUGAACUAUAAACAAAAAUAAUUAUAGAAAAAGAGUAAAAAACAAAAGAUAACUCGAAUAUGAAAACACUAUUCUUCAAUUAUAGAAUCUGACAUUGCAGCCUAUAAUAAUAUAUAAUUAUAUAAGGAUUAAAAAAUCAAUUAAGAAUUUCAAAUUAAAAUAGAUCUAUACAUGUAAUUACAAUCAAUUAAAAAUUACAAGUAACACUUUUAUGUUUGAGGUGAAGUACUUAAUUACUAAACUUAAUAAAUUAAACAAUUAAAAUUUAUUCAUCCUUUCAAAUUGUAAAGGUAUUAUUAGUCAAAAGUUUCAAUAAUAAACUAAACUCAAUUCAGCAAAAAUGUAUUUGGGUGCAGUUAUUUCUUUGUCAGGAGCUCUAGCUCUCUUUAAAAAACUAGAUGUUGUUAAUUCUUCUAUCAAAAGCUCCUUAAAAUACUCAAAUUUUAUUUUCUAACUUGCCCUCUUAGUUAAUAUAACUAAUAAAUAAAAUCUGAAAAUUCACAUAAAAUUUUUAUAAAAUAUUGAUAAUUGUUACUGCAUGUUGUUUCUGUAAGUACUUUUAAUACUAGUGACAAUGUUAUAUUACAUUGACAUAUUUUUUUUUAUGUUGAAAAAUAAACAAGCUUUAUAUGAACUUUAAACACAGAUAAUAAUUUGCAUGUAGUAAAAUUGCUUAAUAUAUCCAUUAUUUUAUCAUUUUUAACUUUAUCUAUCGGUUAUUUUCAUUUUGAAAAUACAGGAUAAAUGAAAUAAUAACAAACACAUAUUUCAAUUGAAAAUUUAUCAACUUGAAAACACCAUUUUCAUUCUCAGAAUAUAAAUUUAAAAAUAAAAUACAGAACAUGCCCUAACAUUUUCUGAAUUUAUUUUUAUACUGUAAAAGAAUCAAAUUAACUCACACAGUUAUUUUAGUUUUUAUGAUAUAAACAAAUAAUCAUCAUUUAAAUUCAAUAGAAAGAGGUAUUCUUGGUAGAAUUGACUUCUUUAGCAAAAUAUAAUCUAUUUGGGACUUCUUACUCCAUUAGGUUAAUUGUCACAUCAUUAAUUUUAGAUUAUAAACUUUAUAUUCGAACUUUGUAAGACCAUCAUUUCUCCCUUUUUAUUUAAAAAAAAAAUUAACUUCUUGCAUGAUCUAGUUGGUCUCCUUUCAAAAGAAAUAAAAAAAAAAACUAAAAUAAAAGGAAAUAAAGCAUAUUCUUUAUCUUAAUUACUUUCAUUUGUUAUUGACAUGUACUCAUGCAUUGUGCUUUUGUAUACUUUAUCGAUAUGUUUUGCUUAAGGGAUAAAACUCAUUAUGUGGCAAAAUUUUAUUAGAGCUGGGAUUAUUUAUAUAUGUUCUAGUACUUUGAGCAUCUUACCAUACACUCGUCUAUAAAAUUUUAACAUUAAUUUUUACUACUCAUCGAAAUAUCAAAAUAGUCCUUACUAAACAUCUCUCAUUAUGGGGGAGAGGGAUAGAGGAAGUUGUCAAACCGACCCGGAAAACCCGACCCAAAUCUGCGAACUCGACCCAGAUAUAUCUCCGAUUUUCGGCCACGUCACCGGCCAUGGAUGGAGCAACGAAAGCUCCUCAGCCAGCCAUCAGUUUCGCACCGUCACUGUCGCCAAAAACCAACCGAAACGCCGCCGUUGUUCUGUGAAGAAAAAUACGUAUCAAAUGAUCGACGGAUUGUACUUUUCAAUUUUUACUUCACAGUACUUUUCUUUAUUUGCUGGGUCAUUUAUGUUUUUUUGGACGGAUUUAAGUGUGCUCAUACAUUUUAUUGAAUUUUAUUUUGAUAAAAUCACCAACGAUCAGUAGAGAUUUACACUACCUAUCUGAGUAUUUGGUUCUCUAAUGUAAGGAAGCAUGUAAUCUUUCGCCAAUAAUUUUUUAUUUCAUCAAAAUGUUAAAAUGUUGAAAGGAGAAUUAGAUUUUUUUUUAUAUAAAAAAGAGAAUUAGAGUUCAUAUUGAAGAAAAUUAUUUUUCCUACUAUAAAUCCAGUUCGAAUCUUUGAAGCAAAUGAUCUAAUCUCAAGCAUAGAAAGUAGGAAGAUCGAUUGAACAGCGGACACAUUAACAAAAAAUAAUUACUUUAAAAAGUUAAUAUUGGAUAUCACAAAAAUUUUAUUAUUAUUAUUAUUGUAAGUUGGUAUGUUGAAAAAUAAACAAGCUUUAUAUGAACUUUAAACACAGAUAAUAAUUUGCAUGUAGUAAAAUUGCUUAAUAUAUCCAUUAUUUUAUCAUUUUUAACUUUAUCUAUCGGUUAUUUUCAUUUUGAAAAUACAGGAUAAAUGAAAUAAUAACAAACACAUAUUUCAAUUGAAAAUUUAUCAACUUGAAAACACCAUUUUCAUUCUCAGAAUAUAAAUUUAAAAAUAAAAUACAGAACAUGCCCUAACAUUUUCUGAAUUUAUUUUUAUACUGUAAAAGAAUCAAAUUAACUCACACAGUUAUUUUAGUUUUUAUGAUAUAAACAAAUAAUCAUCAUUUAAAUUCAAUAGAAAGAGGUAUUCUUGGUAGAAUCAGGAGCGGAUCCAGGACUUAAUAUUACCCCGGGCUAAAUUUUAAAAUUUAUAUUUUGAAGCGAACAUAAAAAUUUAUAUAUAAAAAUAAGUAUAUUAAAUAAGGAGGAAUACCAAAAAUUUUAUCUCUCUAAAUAUGAACUAUAAACAAAAAUAAUUAUAGAAAAAGAGUAAAAAACAAAAGAUAACUCGAAUAUGAAAACACUAUUCUUCAAUUAUAGAAUCUGACAUUGCAGCCUAUAAUAAUAUAUAAUUAUAUAAGGAUUAAAAAAUCAAUUAAGAAUUUCAAAUUAAAAUAGAUCUAUACAUGUAAUUACAAUCAAUUAAAAAUUACAAGUAACACUUUUAUGUUUGAGGUGAAGUACUUAAUUACUAAACUUAAUAAAUUAAACAAUUAAAAUUUAUUCAUCCUUUCAAAUUGUAAAGGUAUUAUUAGUCAAAAGUUUCAAUAAUAAACUAAACUCAAUUCAGCAAAAAUGUAUUUGGGUGCAGUUGUUUCUUUGUUAGGCGCUCUAGCUCUCUUUAAAAAACUAGAUGUUGAUAAUUCUUCUAUCAAAAGCUCUUUAAAAUACUCAAAAUUUAUUUUCUAACUUGCCCUCUUAGUUAAUAUAACUAAUAAAUAAAAUCUGAAAAUUCACAUAAAUUUUUUAUAAAAUAUUGAUAAUUGUUACUGCAUGUUGUUUCUGUAAGUACUUUUAAUACUAGUGACAAUGUUAUAUUACAUUGACAUAUUUUUUUUUUCAAUUAGAAGUUUUUUAAAAUAAAUUAAAGUAGUAAUAAAACUUUAGCUCCCUAAUGUUUUCAAUCUAUUCAAUAAAUAUAUGAUUUAAUCAUUUUAUAAAAUAAGUCACUAAUUUCAAUUGAAAAUAAUAUAAUUGAAUAAGGGAUAUAUUUGUAAAUAAAAUAAAAACUCUAUUAUUAUAUAAAAUUGAUGAAAACAUAAGGGUAAUUGGGAUAGGGACAUAUUUGAAUAUAAAAUAAAAACUCUAUUGUUAUACUAAAUUGAUGAAAAUAUAAGGGUAGUUGAGUUAGGGAUAUAUAUGAAAAUAAAAUUAAACCUCUGUAAUUUUACUAAAUUAAUGAAACAUUAAGGGGUAUAAACGAUUUUGUCUAGACUAGACCGGGCUACAGCCCGGUCUAGCCCACGUGUAGGUCCGCCACUGGGUAGAAUUGACUUCUUUAGCAAAAUAUAAUCUAUUUGGGACUUCUUACUCCAUUAGGUUAAUUGUCACAUCAUUAAUUUUAGAUUAUAAACUUUAUAUUCGAACUUUGUAAGACCAUCAUUUCUCCCUUUUUAUUUAAAAAAAAAAUUAACUUCUUGCAUGAUCUAGUUGGUCUCCUUUCAAAAGAAAUAAAAAAAAAAACUAAAAUAAAAGGAAAUAAAGCAUAUUCUUUAUCUUAAUUACUUUCAUUUGUUAUUGACAUGUACUCAUGCAUUGUGCUUUUGUAUACUUUAUCGAUAUGUUUUGCUUAAGAGAUAAAACUCAUUAUGUGGCAAAAUUUUAUUAGAGCUGGGAUUAUUUAUAUAUGUUCUAGUACUUUGAGCAUCUUACCAUACACUCGUCUAUAAAAUUUUAACAUUAAUUUUUACUACUCAUCGAAAUAUCAAAAUAGUCCUUACUAAACAUCUCUCAUUAUGGGGGAGAGGGAUAGAGGAAGUUGUCAAACCGACCCGGAAAACCCGACCCAAAUCUGCGAACUCGACCCAGAUAUAUCUCCGAUUUUCGGCCACGUCACCGGCCAUGGAUGGAGCAACGAAAGCUCCUCAGCCAGCCAUCAGUUUCGCACCGUCACUGUCGCCAAAAACCAACCGAAACGCCGCCGUUUGAAGCGCGAAUAGUCGCAGCCAAAACCUAUCACGACCGUCGUUGAUUCCGUCGGAAUUAGGCCAUGCCAGACGGAGAAAUGGUAGGGGGUAAACAGAGUUUGUAUCGGAGGUGGGGUAAAUGGAGGAUUAUGGAGAGAGGGCAACCAACGGCCAUGAUGAGGGAGAGGAGGAGGAGGAGGAGGAGGAGGGUGAGGUUAUGGACGGCUGUGAUGGGCUUGAGGAUGUGGGGUCCAAUGAGAGGUGAUGUUGAUGUUGAUGUGUGGUAGAGGAUGAAUGUGAGGGAAAGGUAAGUGAGGAUGGAGAGAUAAGUAACUAUUAUUUAUUGAAAAUUAAUUCUUUAAAUACUUUAAAAUGUAAAAUUAUUAAAUAAAAAUUCAUUCUAUUGUUGUUAAUUCACAAAAUUUUAAUUCAAUUAUAACAUUUCUACUUAUUUUUUUAAGUUAAAUUAUAUCUUUUUUAUUUUUUUUUUCUAAAUUAAACUAAUUUUUCUAUUCUUCUAUUGUCUAAAGUUUUUCUAUAUCGUUUUAUUUCAAAAUAGAUAAAACAAGCACAAAAAAAAAGUAGAUGAAUAAAAGAAUAUAUGAAAAAGAAAUAAGAAUAAAUAACAACACAACUAAUUAAGAGAAUAAUAAAAAGAAAAAAUCAUAAAUUUGAGAUGAAAUCAUAAAUUAAGUUAUGUUUAUAUUAAGGCUAUUGUUUGAAAAUUUGAGUAACGACCCAUAGUUAUAGAAAAUAGAGAAAACUAUUAGAUUUUUUCUUUUUCUUCUAUAGUAGAAAGUAGAGGAAGCAAGAUUUUUUUCCCUCUCUCUCUUUCUUUCUCUCAAAUACCAAGAUGUCUUCAUUGUUGGAGGAAAAAUUUAAUGGAUAAGUAAUAAAAUGUGGGGCUUUUAUAGAGGUUCAAAAUAAAUAUAAAACUUUUGAAAUAUAACUUAUUAAUUCUAACAAUGAAAUAGAUAAUUUUUAGGAUUGAAACUAUUAAUUUAUUGGUUUUGUAGAAAUUAAAACAAUUAAGUACUACAUUAAAUAAACUUUAUAAGAAUUUUGAUAGUUUAUUUAGAAAAAGAUAAUUAUAAAAUAAAGCUGCAUAAUUAAACAAUUUUAGUAAAUAUUUGCUAUUUUGAUUUAAAAAUUAAUUUGAUUUGAUCUCAUACUUUAUUAUUAAAAAACUUAUAAUAUCUUUAUUAAUUUUAUUAAAUUAUUAUUUAAAAGUCAUACAUUUACUGUACAUUGUCAACUUUCUGCUAUUUUUUUGGUUCUCACAACAGCUAGUAAUAUCAAACAAGAGCUAAGUUAAGUAUGAUCAAUUAAUUAAAGUUUUGAUUUUUUGUAUAAAAUAAUCCUUAGAUAAUUAGUCUAUAAAGAAUAUUGGUUACUUCAAAUGGAAACUUGUGAUCAAAAGUGUAUCUUGAAGUGACACUAUAUGAGAAAUCUGAAAUAGAAUUUGCAAACUUGAACUGGGUUACAGAGAGUUAAUAAGACCCCAAAGAAACAUGGAAACUAUUUUUAUCUAGGAAACAAUCCAUAGCGAAAACAAAAUUAACUUUCCUAACUGACUAGAAUUUAACUCAAGGAAAAUUAGAAUAUACGACGUUGUAUCACAUACGGUAUUUAGACAUCAAGAAAAGAAUCCCUCUAUCUGUGAACCACACUUGCCAGGAAAUUAACACCAGGGGAAUACCACCACCUCAUACUAUUUCUUAGGUGUCUCAGAGUUUGAUGAGGACUUCCAUGCUGUGUCUCUUCGACAGGCAGCAAAAUUGGGCAAUUGACUACAUCAACUCCAACAAAUUUAUGCAGCCACCUUCCUCCGGACUAUCCUCUUUCUUCGCGCUUUAGUUGCCCUUAUUUCCCCUUUAAUAGAGUCAACAUUAUCUUGUUUGAUGCCAAGGAGACCAAGCCCAGAAACAAUGGCAUUCUUUGAUAUCAACCACCUGGGGACUUUUGAGCUGAGCCAUGACAUCCUGAGAUGGCCUGUUGUGUAAGCCUUCUUCAAAAGGUCAUCCGUUAAUCUUUCUCCUAAUUAGACAUUCAAAACCCUGCAUGGAAUCGAUUUGAGAAGUUGGACAAUAGACAAACUCCAACACAUAUAGACAGUAAAGAAGAAUUUAGACCGCAAUCACUGUGGCUCAACAAAUGGGCCUAUUAAGCCUAUUAAAAGUUGGAACCAUAUUCACCACUCGCAUUUCCUUAAGAGAGCUAUACCAGAAUUCUGUAAAUUUAAAACUUUUCUUACAUAAUUAAUUGUAAAACAAGAGAAAUUGUACUUCCGUAGCAAAGUCUCACUAUUGGUAAGUAUCUGGACUUGGAAAGGAUGCUAGUUGAUGAAGUAAAGGAAAAUUGAAAUCAGACUUUGAGGUGACAGAUCUAUACACUUCAAUAGGAACAACAUUGACAUCAUAUGAGACAAAUAAACAUUCCCCAGUCAAAGUUUAACAAACAAAACAUUAAAACAAGAGUAAGUUGGUCUAUCAAUGUAUAUAUAGACAUGUCAAUCAAUAGACAAAUACGUAAAAGAGGGAGGGAGAGACCUCAAAGCCGUGCUACUCCAAUAACUUCAAAAUUGUUGGUGACCACUCUAUCAAAUCCAUCCAAUAGUUGCAUACACUCACCGAUGGGUUUGUCACAGAUAACCUGUUUGGCAUUAAAAAUUGCCCAAAUUAAACAAAUGUUAGACCAGCUUAGACAGUAAACGGAACAAUAUUCUAAUUUUACUUUAUUUAUAACGAAUAAGUGAACAAAGGAAUAAAAAGGAAGUUUGGCAAAGAAUCUUUUGGCAAAGAAUCCUGCAGCUAAUCCCACCAUACACCGUUCUGCAGGCUUAUUUGGGAAUCAAAAUUCUCAAAAUGUACUAAGAAAUGACAUUUGUUUACUAGUCCCACCAACAAGGAGGAAGUGACGUGAAGCGAAUUUACUAAGAAAUGCUAGUGUAUUAAUAUUGAAGGAAAACAUUCACAGACGACCAAAAUCGCUGAUAUAUACUUAAUUUCUCACUCACUAAGAACGUUCAAUUCAUUCAAAUGAAACUUCCACAGGAAGGUCUCAUUAUUAAGGCUUUAGCUUCACCUCACAUGCUCAAUAAUUCAAAUUUGAGGAUGAUAUUUCUCCAAAUGGAGGGCUCUAUUUGUCUUGCCAACAAUCUUUCUCACAACUAUCAUCCUUGCUCUAUCGGUUGCACUGAGCAAUCUUCAUUCUGAUAUUUGCCCUAUUAACCUGAGUACACAAGAAUCCGAAACAACUGUUAGAAAUUUUAAUCUUUAUAUAUAGCCAAAAUGGUGAAUAAGAUGAUGUACUGAUAAUAAAUACCUGAGUUAAUAAAUAAUUAAGGGGCCGGUAACAAUCUCAGCAUUUUAUCAGGUGGGGAAAGCCUUCGCAACGAAGAUGCUGCUUGCUUUCAAGCAAUAAUAACUUUCCAAUUCCAUAAGAUAGCUUAAUGCCCUUUUAAGAAUAUCUCCACCAGCCUAACAAUUAUUCAUGGAAAUCCAAUUUGCAUUUGUCGCCUUCAAUUUGCUCAUCUUUGUCUAGAGUAUUGUUUUUGCAUUAACUUAGCUAGCUUGCAAACCACCUGCAGAUGGUUUUAAAUAAUNNNNNNNNNNNNNNNNNNNNNNNNNNNNNNNNNNNNNNNNNNNNNNNNNNNNNNNNNNNNNNNNNNNNNNNNNNNNNNNNNNNNNNNNNNNNNNNNNNNNNNNNNNNNNNNNNNNNNNNNNNNNNNNNNNNNNNNNNNNNNNNNNNNNNNNNNNNNNNNNNNNNNNNNNNNNNNNNNNNNNNNNNNNNNNNNNNNNNNNNNNNNNNNNNNNNNNNNNNNNNNNNNNNNNNNNNNNNNNNNNNNNNNNNNNNNNNNNNNNNNNNNNNNNNNNNNNNNNNNNNNNNNNNNNNNNNNNNNNNNNNNNNNNNNNNNNNNNNNNNNNNNNNNNNNNNNNNNNNNNNNNNNNNNNNNNNNNNNNNNNNNNNNNNNNNNNNNNNNNNNNNNNNNNNNNNNNNNNNNNNNNNNNNNNNNNNNNNNNNNNNNNNNNNNNNNNNNNNNNNNNNNNNNNNNNNNNNNNNNNNNNNNNNNNNNNNNNNNNNNNNNNNNNNNNNNNNNNNNNNNNNNNNNNNNNNNNNNNNNNNNNNNNNNNNNNNNNNNNNNNNNNNNNNNNNNNNNNNNNNNNNNNNNNNNNNNNNNNNNNNNNNNNNNNNNNNNNNNNNNNNNNNNNNNNNNNNNNNNNNNNNNNNNNNNNNNNNNNNNNNNNNNNNNNNNNNNNNNNNNNNNNNNNNNNNNNNNNNNNNNNNNNNNNNNNNNNNNNNNNNNNNNNNNNNNNNNNNNNNNNNNNNNNNNNNNNNNNNNNNNNNNNNNNNNNNNNNNNNNNNNNNNNNNNNNNNNNNNNNNNNNNNNNNNNNNNNNNNNNNNNNNNNNNNNNNNNNNNNNNNNNNNNNNNNNNNNNNNNNNNNNNNNNNNNNNNNNNNNNNNNNNNNNNNNNNNNNNNNNNNNNNNNNNNNNNNNNNNNNNNNNNNNNNNNNNNNNNNNNNNNNNNNNNNNNNNNNNNNNNNNNNNNNNNNNNNNNNNNNNNNNNNNNNNNNNNNNNNNNNNNNNNNNNNNNNNNNNNNNNNNNNNNNNNNNNNNNNNNNNNNNNNNNNNNNNNNNNNNNNNNNNNNNNNNNNNNNNNNNNNNNNNNNNNNNNNNNNNNNNNNNNNNNNNNNNNNNNNNNNNNNNNNNNNNNNNNNNNNNNNNNNNNNNNNNNNNNNNNNNNNNNNNNNNNNNNNNNNNNNNNNNNNNNNNNNNNNNNNNNNNNNNNNNNNNNNNNNNNNNNNNNNNNNNNNNNNNNNNNNNNNNNNNNNNNNNNNNNNNNNNNNNNNNNNNNNNNNNNNNNNNNNNNNNNNNNNNNNNNNNNNNNNNNNNNNNNNNNNNNNNNNNNNNNNNNNNNNNNNNNNNNNNNNNNNNNNNNNNNNNNNNNNNNNNNNNNNNNNNNNNNNNNNNNNNNNNNNNNNNNNNNNNNNNNNNNNNNNNNNNNNNNNNNNNNNNNNNNNNNNNNNNNNNNNNNNNNNNNNNNNNNNNNNNNNNNNNNNNNNNNNNNNNNNNNNNNNNNNNNNNNNNNNNNNNNNNNNNNNNNNNNNNNNNNNNNNNNNNNNNNNNNNNNNNNNNNNNNNNNNNNNNNNNNNNNNNNNNNNNNNNNNNNNNNNNNNNNNNNNNNNNNNNNNNNNNNNNNNNNNNNNNNNNNNNNNNNNNNNNNNNNNNNNNNNNNNNNNNNNNNNNNNNNNNNNNNNNNNNNNNNNNNNNNNNNNNNNNNNNNNNNNNNNNNNNNNNNNNNNNNNNNNNNNNNNNNNNNNGCACACGAGUUCAACCAAAUCGGGCUUGAAUUCGCACCCCCCCUGCGCACGCGCGUGUGGAGAGAGCCUCUAUCCUUAUAAUUCUUACUCAUGUAUGGUUAAGUGUUUAUAUUUAAACAUUUAUUCCUAGGCUUCUUUUUCCCAUGUGGGAUAAGACUCAUUUCCUUUCAAAUUUUCAACUUCAAGGGUGAACUUUGAGAGACAAUUUCUCAUUCACCCAAGCACCAUUUUGAGAAAAUAAAAUUAUACUAUUGAAGUAUCAACGGAGUAGAAUCCGAACCUCACAAUAUUUUUCACUUUCGUUAAGUGGGACCCACUCGAAAUGUGCUCUCAAUUAGCAUGUUAUGCUAUUUUUUCCAACAUAUGCCCCUUCACUGCAAUUGCACGUGGUGGAAAUUUUACUGCGAAGACUUUCUCAAACCUUGAAGAUCACACUCGGCCUGACAACAAAGAAACAAAGUCAAUAUACGAAGAUGAUUUUACUAACAAGUGAGAGCUUACAAAUAUUUGAAGGAUAACGAUCACUCAUAACCCAUAUCCCCAGUAUUCCCUAAUAUUUCACUCAAGUGAGUUCAAGCUCCCAAAAUUCACUACAGUGAAAUGUCAAAACAAAACUCUCUUCUCAAAUUUGAUGAUGAUAUCUCUCGAAGGGAGGCAAAAGAAUCUAACACUGCUCAAAUUGGCUUGUGAACAAUUAAUCUUCCUCGCCAUCAUUCAUACCAGGUGCGGUGAACAAUCUUCAUUCUGACAUUUGCCUUAAUAAGCUGCUUAGUAACCUUAACCUGAUAACUCACACAAACAAAAACAACUUGCCUAAAGUUUAAUAUUUCGAGCAGAACAGUAAAGAAGAUGAUAUCUAUUGAUGCUAAAAUUUGACCUGUGUUACCCUGAUGUCAAAAAUCAUAGCAUCUCAUGUGGGCAAAAUCUUCGCAACACGAGAUGCUUGCAAAAUUGGAGCAGCAUCUUAUCACCUGUAAUUUAAUUGAGACAAUAACUUUCCCCAACCAUUUCAAUGCAUUAUUGCCAACUAAAUUCAGAGGGUGCUAAUUAAAUAGCCUUUGAACAAUAUAUUCUUAUUCUUCUCCAAUGUAACAAUUAUUUGGAAAAUCUAAAUGACAAUCAUGCAUCGAUGGCAUGAAAAUUUGGCUACAAAGUAGCCUGGAAAAGGCUGCUCUCUGAAUGAGAGCAUGAAUUCGAACAAAUAUGAUGAAUGAAUAAAUAAAGGCAUAAUACCACAAGAAGUAAAACUUUUCCCCAGAUUUCUGUUUCUGUUUGUGCUAAAACCAAUGGAAACCGAUGGAAAUGAAUUUCUACGAAUUAGACAUAUCAGCCAAAACAGGUACUCUGUACAAGCAAAGUAAAAGAGGGUUACAAAAAAAUUUAAUAUUGAUAUGAUAAUUAAAAUUAUAAUGAAAAUUUCAGUUACCAUAUAAUUAAUAGAUAACUCUGUACACAAUGAUUUAUUGCAUAUUAAGAUUGUAUACCUGAAUUUUAAUUGCUAUACAAAAUAUGGUAGUAGCAUUAGGAGACCGCACCAAACGCACCGAAUUGAAUGUGCCUUUUCACAGCCAUUGUACAAGCUUUGAAGCUUUACCACAAAUGCUUUCUCAAACCCGUGAUCAUGAUGCACCCGAGAGAUGCAAGAGAUGAAAUUGUUACUACAGCAGGCAUUGAAACAUUUGUUAAAACAAAUGUUUAUACAGGAUAAAUGAUUCCAAGAAUGAAACAAGAUCGAAAUGAUGAUCUUAGCACCUUAACAUCAUGCAAUGAUAAUAAUCAUCAUGUCUUUCAGGCAGCUAUCCAUCCUCAAUUGAAACAGAGCAGACCCGGCCAUCACUUCCUUCUUCAAAGUCCAGCAACCAAACGUUGCACAAUAACCACAGUGAUAAUCCUUGGUUACCCCAAUUUUCUCCAUAGAGUCUUCAAAGUCAACCUAAAAAUGCAAUGCAGGUGGAAAUGAAAAUUCUAUAAAUAAAAUAAAAUAAAAAUGCAAUGCUUGAGCUUGAGCUUGCUUUAGCAUCAUCGUAAUAGUAAAUUUUGAUGUAUCUUUACUUCUCUGUUCUUGUUUAUUCACAACAAGAUAUCAAUAGAAGAAGAUGGAAAUGAAAUUCAAUAAAAUAAAGCAAAUGAAUUACCAGCAGAACAUUUUAGCAAUCCUUUGGCUAAACUUCUCAUUUUCUUAGCAUACUCUCCUGCCUGCAUCAUUAAAACCAAAUUAGAUUGGACCUGUGAAUUGCUAGUGUAGUUCUGACAUUUCCUCGAAUCCCUGGUGAACAUAAUUAAACAAGUAUGAAAUAAAACAAAGUGGGCUAAUGUACUACUAAAAACAAUUACACAAUUACUUUAAAGAAUUAAUGUCACAUAAAUUAUAUAUAAAAAAAUACGAUUAUCAUUAUGCAAGACAAAAUUGAUAAUUUAGUUUUCAACAUUACUUCAAACGUAUGAGAUUGUAUGAAAUUUUACAAAAGAGCACAUAUUUUUUUAAAAGUAAUUAUCGAAUUUAAACAGACUACACUUGUUUUUUUUUUUUUUAUUUAAUCUUUAGGAAACAAGUUUAACAGAUUUGAUAACUAGGAAGUUUUACAUAUUUAUACCAUGAUUGAUUCUAUAUAGAAUUAAAGAUAUAAUUAUUUUUAUUCAUUUUAUUGCAAGCAACAACGAAGUAAAUCGGAGGAGGAGAAAUUACCGGCACCAUGAUGUGGGGAAUGUGAGAUAACUAGGAAGUUUUACAUAUUUAUACCUGCAGUGUCGUCGUUCGAAGGAGGUAAUCCGGCAGCACCUUUAUUUUGGGGCAAUCCAAAAUCAUCAAGGAACAGACUACACUUGUUGUCCUGUGAUCUUCUAGAAUGGGCAGUUCUUCCAAAUUUUCACAACAAUUAAUAUUCAGUUUCUGUAGUGCCGUCGUUUGAAGAAGGUAAUCCGGCAGCGCCUUUAAUUUGUUGCAAGAACCAACUGUUAAGGAAGAAAGACGGGGCAUGAUGGAGAUGUUUUCCUUCCUCGUAAUCCUGUAAUUCCACUCUUCCAAUUCUUCCAUGUCCCAAAUAUUGAG
rnacentral:lncRNA from 1 species